UGUGUAGGCGGGCUUGCAAGUUGGAUGCGUAAUACCCAGAGCUUAACUCGGGUGCUGCAUCUGAAACUACUUUUCUUGAGUGCAGGAGAGGAAAGCGGAAUUCCUAGUGUAGCGGUGAAAUGCGUAGAUAUUAGGAGGAACACCAGUGGCGAAGGCGGCUUUCUGGACUGUAACUGACACUGAGGCUCGAAAGCCAGGGGAGGCGAAC
rnacentral:rRNA from 1 species